ensembl:rRNA 5S_rRNA 5S ribosomal RNA
UGUCUAUGGCCAUAUCACCCUGAAUGCGCCCAAUCUCGUCUGAUCGCAGAAGCUAAGCAGGGUCGGGCUUGGUUAGUAACUUGGAUGGAUGGGAGUCAUGAUAC